AGAGCCCCAAUUUAUGAGUUUGGUUUUCUGUGACGUUACUGACGGAUCAAAGCAAGAGCAAACGCCUUUGAUCUGUCAGUGACGUCGCAAGGAACGCACGCGCAGGCGCGGCACAUGAUUAAAAGCUAGCGUGCGCUCACAGAUUUGAAUGACUCUUCGGGUGUAUCGUUCGUGACCCGCCAUAAUCCCAGGAUUUAUCGCGAAUCAAAGGUUGGAGGAAGUUUUUGGGGAAAAUGGCGGACGGUCGAAGCGGAGCGGUCCAUAAAAAAGCUCUUCAAAGAAACACCGACCACCGACGGUUCACCAAAUAUCUGGCCCGCGAACUGUGUGUCCAGAGUCAGAGGAGAGUGAGAAGGUGAGAGGAGACGUGACAGAGGAUCUCCACCCUUGAUUAGACACCAGGACAGAUCCAGGACAGUGUGUGAGGAGGAGAAAAAGGAGCCAGCAUCAGCUGAGAGAUAUAGAGGAGAACAGGGGGACAACAGAUAGCUCUCUGUAGUUGAGGGACUGGUAAAAACAUUGAAAACAGUUUUUAGAUACUUUUGCAAAUACAGGACACCCAUAUCUCCAACACAAACUGUAACAGCUGCAUACAGGGAGCCACUCACUGAUGUUUAUCCUGCAGGACAGGAUCUGACAGGGAAAGAAGGAAAAAUAAGGGAACCAUGGACAAGUUUGAUAAUGCUUUGAUUUAUCCACAAUAUAUUCAGCUCAAAUAUUGUUUUCAUCACAGUGGCAUUGUGCUGGUUUCAGUGGGAAAAGUGUGCAGCUCUUUAAAUACAAAGUUCGAAGAGCUGUGAAAAGUUGUCCAUUCAUAAAGUGUGUCAGUAUUUUAUAAGGAUGUCAUAUUUCUGUAUUAUCUCUCUCCUGUUAGAGCCUCUUACCCAGACAUCAGCCUGUUUAAUGCUCUCAUAUCUUCAACAUCUUAAGUAAAUUAUACUGCACAGUUUUCUCUCCAAUAAAAGAAUAUUUACUGCAUCAGUUUGUCUUCCAUUUUAUCUGAAACAUUCAAGGAUCAAAUCUUUUACUAUAUUUUUAUGACAUUGCCCUUAAAUAUAAUUAAAGCUUUCGCACAGUGGGCAUUGUAUAUUAAUAUUUGUCUGUCACAGUUGCAAUCUAUAAAUGAUAUGAAAUAUAAAUAAAUACCUUGAAUUUUGACUGAAAUGUAAUAUUUGAGACAACUGAGUUAAAUUCCAC
ensembl:lncRNA